UUAACGGAGAGUUUGAUUCUGGCUCAGAACGAACGCUGGCGGCGUGGAUAAGACAUGCAAGUCGAACGGGACAACAUCUGUAGCAAUACAGGUGUUGUUUAGUGGCGAACGGGUGCGUAACACGUGGGCAAUCUGCCGAGAAGUGGGGGAUAGCUCGCCGAAAGGCGAAUUAAUACCGCAUGUGAUCAGAGAGGACAUCCUCUCGAACUCAAAGCCGGGGCAACCUGGCGCUUCUUGAUGAGCCCGCGGCCUAUCAGCUAGUUGGUGAGGUAACGGCUCACCAAGGCUAUGACGGGUAGCUGGUCUGAGAGGACGACCAGCCACACUGGAACUGAGACACGGUCCAGACACCUACGGGUGGCAGCAGUCGAGAAUUUUUCACAAUGGGGGCAACCCUGAUGGAGCGACGCCGCGUGGAGGAUGAAUGCUUUCGGGUUGUAAACUCCUG
rnacentral:rRNA from 1 species